GAUGAACGCUGGCGGCGUGCCUAAUACAUGCAAGUCGAGCGAACGGACGAGAAGCUUGCUUCUCUGAUGUUAGCGGCGGACGGGUGAGUAACACGUGGAUAACCUACCUAUAAGACUGGGAUAACUUCGGGAAACCGGAGCUAAUACCGGAUGAUAUUUUGAACCGCAUGGUUCAAAAGUGAAAGACGGUCUUGCUGUCACUUAUAGAUGGAUCCGCGCUGCAUUAGCUAGUUGGUAAGGUAACGGCUUACCAAGGCAACGAUGCAUAGCCGACCUGAGAGGGUGAUCGGCCACACUGGAACUGAGACACGGUCCAGACUCCUACGGGAGGCAGCAGUAGGGAACCUUCCGCAAUGGGCGAAAGCCUGACGGAGCAACGCCGCGUGAGUGAUGAAGGUCUUCGGAUCGUAAAACUCUGUUAUUAGGGAAGAACAUAUGUGUAAGUAACUGUGCACAUCUUGACGGUACCUAAUCAGAAAGCCACGGCUAACUACGUGCCAGCAGCCGCGGUAAUACGUAGGUGGCAAGCGUUAUCCGGAAUUAUUGGGCGUAAAGCGCGCGUAGGCGGUUUUUUAAGUCUGAUGUGAAAGCCCACGGCUCAACCGUGGAGGGUCAUUGGAAACUGGAAAACUUGAGUGCAGAAGAGGAAAGUGGAAUUCCAUGUGUAGCGGUGAAAUGCGCAGAGAUAUGGAGGAACACCAGUGGCGAAGGCGACUUUCUGGUCUGUAACUGACGCUGAUGUGCGAAAGCGUGGGGAUCAAACAGGAUUAGAUACCCUGGUAGUCCACGCCGUAAACGAUGAGUGCUAAGUGUUAGGGGGUUUCCGCCCCUUAGUGCUGCAGCUAACGCAUUAAGCACUCCGCCUGGGGAGUACGACCGCAAGGUUGAAACUCAAAGGAAUUGACGGGGACCCGCACAAGCGGUGGAGCAUGUGGUUUAAUUCGAAGCAACGCGAAGAACCUUACCAAAUCUUGACAUCCUUUGACAACUCUAGAGAUAGAGCCUUCCCCUUCGGGGGACAAAGUGACAGGUGGUGCAUGGUUGUCGUCAGCUCGUGUCGUGAGAUGUUGGGUUAAGUCCCGCAACGAGCGCAACCCUUAAGCUUAGUUGCCAUCAUUAAGUUGGGCACUCUAAGUUGACUGCCGGUGACAAACCGGAGGAAGGUGGGGAUGACGUCAAAUCAUCAUGCCCCUUAUGAUUUGGGCUACACACGUGCUACAAUGGACAAUACAAAGGGCAGCGAAACCGCGAGGUCAAGCAAAUCCCAUAAAGUUGUUCUCAGUUCGGAUUGUAGUCUGCAACUCGACUACAUGAAGCUGGAAUCGCUAGUAAUCGUAGAUCAGCAUGCUACGGUGAAUACGUUCCCGGGUCU
rnacentral:rRNA from 1 species